UACGGAGGGGGCUAGCGUUAUUCGGAAUUACUGGGCGUAAAGCGCACGUAGGCGGCUUUGUAAGUCAGAGGUGAAAGCCUGGAGCUCAACUCCAGAACUGCCUUUGAGACUGCAUCACUUUGAAUCCAGGAGAGGUGAGUGGAAUUCCGAGUGUAGAGGUGAAAUUCGUAGAUAUUCGGAAGAACACCAGUGGCGAAGGCGGCCUCACUGGACUGGUAUUGACGCGAUGAGGUGGCGAAAAGCGGUUGGGGAGACCAAACAGGG
rnacentral:rRNA from 1 species